CCUGUCCGGCUGAAGUUGGUGAGCUCCCAUUAGCUCAGGUAGACUAUUUCAGUGGGUUUCUGUGGGGUAUUUUCUUGGUUAAUGUGAGAGGACCCCAAUCGACAAUGGAUGGUACCACCCCUGGGCACAUGGUCCUGAGUUAGCUAAAAAAGCAAGCUGGGUGAGCCACAAAGAGCAAGCCAGGAAGCAGUGUUCCUCUGUGGGCACUGCUUCGGUCCCUGCCUCCAGAUACCUGCCUUGAGUUCUUGCCCUGACCUCUCUUAACAAUUGCCUGUGAUGAGGAAGUGUAAGUCAAAUAAACCCUUUCCUCCCUCAAGCUGCUUUUAGUCAUGAUGCUUGUUACCGUUCAGAUGGAAUAUCUUUCCAUGGCCUCAGAACAUCCCCAAAGGGUAUGUGUGUACCUUGCAUGUACUGACGACUAAUUGUUAGAAAGAGAAUUUUUCAGCCCUCCCUUUUAAUGCUUAACAUAACCCUGCUGACAUUACCAUGUGUCAGGCUGCUCACUGGGUCCUUGGGGUGAUGAAAGGUGUGGCUUCCACUAGAAAAGGGAGCUCAGAUGUGAUCCUCUUCUCUCUAAGGAACAAGAGUAAUAGCUCCCUUGUCAUGAGUUAUGGUCAUCAAUGCCACAAAAAUGCUACACUUUUCUCUGUGUUUGUCCCAUGCAGGUGUUCAUGCUGUGACUGCAUCAGCGUUCCCCGGGAAGUGUUCUGAUCCUCCAGAUGCUAGAGAAAUGAUCCUUGUGCAAGCCGCUGUUUCCACACAUUCAAACCCUGUGGACCCCACCGGCCUCCCAGAGGCGUUUGCAUUUCCAGUCUCCCUGGGUCCCUCCGUCCCAGAAGCUUUAGCUGUCUCAGGAGCUUUG